UACGGAGGGUGCGAGCGUUGUCCGGAAUCACUGGGCGUAAAGGGCGCGUAGGCGGCCUGGUAAGUAGGGGGUGAAAUCCUGCGGCUUAACCGCAGGGCUGCCUUCUAAACUGUCAGGCUAGAGCACGGUAGAGGCAGAUGGAAUUCCCGGUGUAGCGGUGGAAUGCGUAGAGAUCGGGAAGAACAUCAGUGGCGAAGGCGGUCUGCUGGGCCGUUGCUGACGCUGAGGCGCGACGGCGUGGGGAGCAAACAGG
rnacentral:rRNA from 1 species